UGUGACCUUUCCAGCCUCUGAAUCCCACCCGGCCAUAGCUCUCCUCCCAGAUCCACUCACGAAGUUUCCAAGAGACACAGAUGCCCACAUAUUUCCCAGACAUAAAAAAAGCUGAAAGGAUUAAUCAUCAGCAGACCUGCACUACAAGAAAUGUUAAAGGAAGUCCUUCUGGCAGAAGAAAAAUGGUACCCAGUAGAAAUCUGGAUCUAUACAAAGGAACAAAUAACCCUGGAAAUGAUGGCACUGACCAGAAGACAAAGGAGGAACCCAAGAAGUGCUUGGCAAAUAACAAUGGACUUUCACUAAACGCCCUUAUGGAUUGAGCAGGUGGUCCCCAUUGGGAUUAUAAUUACAUUUCUC